rnacentral:lncRNA from 1 species
GCAAAGUACAAGUACCGACUUAGAUAAGAGAGUUUAAGAAUUCGGACGAUAAAAAAAGUCCAAAGUGUGUUUAUGAUCAUAUAGACAGACGGGUCCAGCGAUUUCAUCUUUUAUCAUGGAAGAAGCGUCAUCGUGAACAGCGCGUGGGAUUUUCGCGGGAGUGUAACGCAGGUGAAAGGGUAUAUACGCGCGCUUUGUUUUCGCACGAGGUGCGCCCGUGCACGUGGUUAGGUGUGCGCGCGCGCGCGCGGAUGAGAAAAAGAGAAAAGAGAGAGAGAGAGAGAAAGAGUCAGUGAAAAUCAUCAUGCGCGGUCAUCGAAAAGGGAUGUUAGUGGGGGAUGCCUUUGUUACUGGUAGCGUAGUUGGCGGGAAACGUGCGUGACUGGAGAAACUGGCGGAAGGAGGUCCUAAUCUUCUCUCUCUCUGUCGUAAACAUCAAACCAACAAGAAGGAGGAGAAGACGAAGAAGAAGACGAAGACGAGGAGGAGGAGGAGGAGGACAACUACGAUGACAACGACCGUUAUCGCGGAAGUUCGGCAAUUAUAGACGCGCGGAGAAUCGCCUUUUCUCUUUUUCCUCCGGUUUUUUUUUCGACGAGUGAUAUUGAUUUGGGAGAGGCAGUUCGUAUUCGUGGCACGAGCAUACCUUGUGACUCGUGAAAAGAGAGAAAAAGACGGCAACUGACAGGGGGGAAGUGGGGUGCCAGCGGGCAGGGGGAUGGAAUGGGAUGGCAUGGGGUGGAGUGGAAUGGGUAGCUAGGUGGGAGGGAGGGAUGUGGCCAGCAGCGCGAUGCAUCACGGCGCAACGCGCAUCGAGGGGGUACACCUCGCGGUGGGCUCAACGGAGGGAUGAUCGCGUGGACGAUGUUGAGAGAGAGAGAGAGACGGGAGAGAAGGGCAGAGUGGAGGUGGCCCGAGACCGAGGAUCGCCUCCACCUUCCUCCACCCUUCUACUACUCCCCCUCCCUCCACCGGGCCCUCCUGUUCCUCCUCAACCCGACCCCGUCCCUCUGCCGCUAGUCGAACAGCGACGCGACGCACGCUAUCGUACCCCCUUCCAUCGGUUCGACGAACGUAUCUUGCCCCCCUGGACCCUCCAACCCUCUCCGUUCCUGACUCUCUCUCUUUCUAUUCUACUACCACCCCCCGUUCCCCCUUUUCUCGUCCGCCGUCGUCUCGUUCACCGCCACUAUGCCACCACCACCACCAUCACCACCACGACCACCACCUCCUCCUCUAUCGCCACCGGCAGUCGCAGACUCGGAUACCGUGUCUUAACUCAACUCGUUGAUUUUAUCAUCGAUUUUGUGCUUUAGAUCCCGAGUUAGAUCCAUGGAUCCAUUGUAAUAAAUCAAAUUCCUCCAUCGUCGAUCAUUAUGCGGAGGAACGAACUCUUAGAGUCAUAAUAAAGUUGGGAUAACAAUGAAAUAGUCUUCUCGCAAGUUAAAAGAAAUGUAUAUCAAUGCCAUCAACGAAUUUUAAUUCCGGUAUGAAAAAGUAGGUGGCGCAGAGAUUAGUCGGUGCGGUUAUCAUCGCGAGAGAUGAUUCGCGACAAAGUAGUCGAUAGUAAUUUGUUUACAAAUGUAUGUAUAAAUCGAUCGAAUUUAAUUGCAGUGCUUGAAAGUUUUCUCGAUUAAUAAAUAGUUCAUUAGAAAUUAAAUUAUACAUACGUAAAAGCGACGCAAAAAGAUUAUUUCCUAUGUAUAUAUGUAUAUAUAUAAUAUGCGUGUAUUCAUUCGCGCAAUGUUUGUUCAUCGUUCUUUCUAAUGCGAAUACAAUGGAAAGUAACGGAAAUACACACGUAUAUAUAUAAACAAAAGGGUUACGAGGCAACAUUUCGACGCGCCAUCUGUCUUCUUAUGCAGAAAAGUAAAAAUUGUGGAGAUAGUGCAUCGUUCGGAUAUAUAAAGUUGGAGGGCCCUGAAGGCGAAUCCGAUCCUGUUGGGUUGUAAGCGACGGCGGCAAUCUCCCCCUCUAACCCUCGUCCCUCGCCCCACACCACCCUUGGGACGCGCGCCUCCACCAUCCGAAAGGCGAACCAGUCGAGAGAGAGAGAUCCCCCCCCACUCUGCCAGACUUGAGGCAGAUCGUGCGCUGUGUUGGCGCGGUGUGGCGCGGUUCGGUGCGGCGUGGCGCGGUGCGGUGCGGUGCGGUGCGCAGCGCAGCACGGCGCGGCGUGUGGUGUGGUGCACGGCGCGCCACCACGGAAGUCUGGCAACCUCGCUCGUCAGCUCGACAGUCUCUCGGUCUCUGCGAGUUACUCGGGGAAGCUCUCAGGCCGAGUCUGCUGCCGCGAGAGAGAGAGUUUCCGUACACCGUAGACACGGCGCGCGCGCGCGCGGCUACACUUUUAGUUGAGGAGUCAGCAAGAGAGAGAGAGAGAGAGAGAAAAAGAGAGAGAGAGAGGAGAAAACAAACGAAGAGCGUGAGUGGUGACGAGAACGACGGUGACGGUGACAGUGACAGUGACGGUGGUGACGGUGCGGUGACGAAACGAUAACGGAGACGCAGACUUUAACAACGGUGA